CAGACUGCCUGCAGAAAAUUCGAGACAUGAUCGCUGAGGCCAGCAAGACACCCAAGGAGCCAACAAAAGAAGAUGUUAAACUUCAGAGAAUCAGGAUAGAAAACAUGAAUCGGGAAAGGCUGAGACAAAAGAGAAUUCAUUCUGCUGUAAAGACAAGCAGGAGAGUUGACAUGGACUGAAAUCACCCUCUGCAGCUGGGAGGGCUCGUCUGGGUGUCAGGGCAGCUGCAGCUGAGAGGCCUUUCACACCAUAAGGAGAUUUCCUUUUUUCUUUUUGGCUGUUAAUGCUUGUCUAUAACAUUGGAGCCAUCACAAGAACGUUCAUUUGGAAUGAAGGUUACAGGCACUGGUUGCAAAAGUCUUUAUAGGCAGUCACCAUAUUGUCAAACCUUAAUAAUGCAUCUAAUGUGUUAGCCACAAUAAAAUUCAAAACUCA